CCCUUAGAUGUUCUGGGCCGCACGCGCGCUACACUGAUGCAUUCAACGAGCCUAUCCUUGACCGACAGGUCCGGGUAAUCUUUGAAUCUGCAUCGUGACGGGGAUAGAUUAUUGCAAUUAUUAAUCUUCAACGAGGAAUGCCUAGUAGGCGCAAGUCAUCAGCUUGCGUCGAUUACGUCCCUGCCCUUUGUACACACCGCCCGUCGCUCCUACCGAUUGGGUGUGCUGGUGAAAUGUUCGGAUCGGCCGUUUGUCGCGGUUUCCGCGGCUCGUGGCUGAGAAGUUCAUUAAACCCUCCCACCUAGAGGAAGGAGAAGUCGUGACA
rnacentral:rRNA from 1 species